GAUGAACGCUGGCGGCGUGCCUAAUACAUGCAAGUCGAGCGAACAGACAAGGAGCUUGCUCCUCUGACGUUAGCGGCGGACGGGUGAGUAACACGUGGAUAACCUACCUAUAAGACUGGGAUAACUUCGGGAAACCGGAGCUAAUACCGGAUAAUAUAUUGAACCGCAUGGUUCAAUAGUGAAAGACGGUUUUGCUGUCACUUAUAGAUGGAUCCGCGCCGCAUUAGCUAGUUGGUAAGGUAACGGCUUACCAAGGCAACGAUGCGUAGCCGACCUGAGAGGGUGAUCGGCCACACUGGAACUGAGACACGGUCCAGACUCCUACGGGAGGCAGCAGUAGGGAAUCUUCCGCAAUGGGCGAAAGCCUGACGGAGCAACGCCGCGUGAGUGAUGAAGGCCUUCGGAUCGUAAAACUCUGUUAUUAGGGAAGAACAAAUGUGUAAGUAACUAUGCACGUCUUGACGGUACCUAAUCAGAAAGCCACGGCUAACUACGUG
rnacentral:rRNA from 1 species